AUGAACGCUAGCUACAGGCUUAACACAUGCAAGUCGAGGGGCAGCAUGGUCUUAGCUUGCUAAGGCCGAUGGCGACCGGCGCACGGGUGAGUAACACGUAUCCAACCUGCCGUCUACUCUUGGACAGCCUUCUGAAAGGAAGAUUAAUACAAGAUGGCAUCAUGAGUCCGCAUGUUCACAUGAUUAAAGGUAUUCCGGUAGACGAUGGGGAUGCGUUCCAUUAGAUAGUAGGCGGGGUAACGGCCCACCUAGUCUUCGAUGGAUAGGGGUUCUGAGAGGAAGGUCCCCCACAUUGGAACUGAGACACGGUCCAAACUCCUACGGGAGGCAGCAGUGAGGAAUAUUGGUCAAUGGGCGAGAGCCUGAACCAGCCAAGUAGCGUGAAGGAUGACUGCCCUAUGGGUUGUAAACUUCUUUUAUAAAGGAAUAAAGUCGGGUAUGCAUACCCGUUUGCAUGUACUUUAUGAAUAAGGAUCGGCUAACUCCGUGCCAGCAGCCGCGGUAAUACGGAGGAUCCGAGCGUUAUCCGGAUUUAUUGGGUUUAAAGGGAGCGUAGAUGGAUGUUUAAGUCAGUUGUGAAAGUUUGCGGCUCAACCGUAAAAUUGCAGUUGAUACUGGAUAUCUUGAGUGCAGUUGAGGCAGGCGGAAUUCGUGGUGUAGCGGUGAAAUGCUUAGAUAUCACGAAGAACUCCGAUUGCGAAGGCAGCCUGCUAAGCUGCAACUGACAUUGAGGCUCGAAAGUGUGGGUAUCAAACAGGAUUAGAUACCCUGGUAGUCCACACGGUAAACGAUGAAUACUCGCUGUUUGCGAUAUACUGCAAGCGGCCAAGCGAAAGCGUUAAGUAUUCCACCGGGGGAGUACGGCGGCAACGGUGAAACGCAAAGGAAUUGUGGGAGGCCCGCACAAGCGGAGGAACAUGUGGUUUAAUUCGAUGAUACGCGAGGAACCUUACCCGGGCUUAAAUUGCAGAUGAAUUACGGUGAAAGCCGUAAGCCGCAAGGCAUCUGUGAAGGUGCUGCAUGGUUGUCGUCAGCUCGUGUCGUGAGAUGUUGGGUUAAGUCCCGCAACGAGCGCAACCCCUGUUCUUAGUUGCCAGCAUGUAAAGAUGGGAACUCUAAGAAGACUGCCGUAGACAAUACGGAGGAAGGUGGGGAUGACGUCAAAUCAGCACGGCCCUUACGUCCGGGGCUACACACGUGUUACAAUGGGGGGUACAGAGGGCCGCUACCACGCGAGUGGAUGCCAAUCCCAAAAACCUCUCUCAGUUCGGACUGGAGUCUGCAACCCGACUCCACGAAGCUGGAUUCGCUAGUAAUCGCGCAUCAGCCACGGCGCGGUGAAUACGUUCCCGGGCCUUGUACACACCGCCCGUCACACCAUGAGAGUUGGGGAUACCCGAAGCCUGUGAGCCAACAGUAAUGAGGCAGCAGUCGAAGGUAGAAUCAAUGAUUGGGGUG
rnacentral:rRNA from 1 species